rnacentral:rRNA from 1 species
UUCAUGGAGAGUUUGAUCCUGGCUCAGGACGAACGCUGGCGGCGUGCCUAAUACAUGCAAGUCGAGCGGACCGACGGGAGCUUGCUCCCUUAGGUCAGCGGCGGACGGGUGAGUAACACGUGGGUAACCUGCCUGUAAGACUGGGAUAACUCCGGGAAACCGGGGCUAAUACCGGAUGCUUGAUUGAACCGCAUGGUUCAAUCAUAAAAGGUGGCUUUUAGCUACCACUUACAGAUGGACCCGCGGCGCAUUAGCUAGUUGG